CGGUUCGGCCGGGAACUCAAAGGAGACUGCCAGUGAUAAACUGGAGGAAGGUGGGGAUGACGUCAAGUCAUCAUGGCCCUUACGAGUAGGGCUACACACGUGCUACAAUGGCGUAUACAAAGAGAAGCGACCUCGCGAGAGCAAGCGGACCUCAUAAAGUGCGUCGUAGUCCGGAUUGGAGUCUGCAACUCGACUCCAUGAAGUCGGAAUCGCUAGUAAUCGUAAAUCAGAAUGUUACGGUGAAUACGUUCCCGGGCCUUGUACACACCGCCCGUCACACCAUGGGAGUGGGUUGCAAAAGAAGUAGAUAGCUUAACCUUCGGGAGGG
rnacentral:rRNA from 1 species